GACGAACGCUGGCGGCGUGCUUAACACAUGCAAGUCGAACGAAGUGGCGAACGGGUGAGUAAUACGUGGGUAACCUGCCCUCCUUUUUGGGUUAAGCCUUGGAAACGGGGUCUAAUACCGAAUACAGGGGGAUGGGCUCGCGGCCUAUCAGCUCGUUGGUGGGGUGCUGGCCUACCAAGGCGGUGACGGGUAGCCAGCCUGAGCGGGUGGCCUGCAACAUAGGGACGGAGAUACGGCCGAGACGCGUACGGGAGACAGCAGUGGGGGAAAUUGCAAAAUGGGCGAAAGACGGAUGCAGCGACGGCGCAUAGGGGGUGAAGGCUUUCGGGUUGUAAAGCGAUUGCGCUAUCGAAAGGGUAGGUGGAGAGGAAGCGCCGGCUAAAUACGUGCCAGCAGCCGCGGUAAUAC
rnacentral:rRNA from 1 species